rnacentral:lncRNA from 1 species
AAAGAUAUCAAAAAGAGUUUGUUCAAAUAAUGUAUACUCAAAUUGUUUAAAUAAAAUGAACAAAAUCUGAUACAAGCAUGUCAGAACAUGAAAAAAUCAUUUCAUGUCUUCAAAUCCCCCAGAACAAAAAACAAAUUCGCAAACCCUUAUUUUUGUCAUUAUAGGGUUUUGAAAAAAAAAAAGAGAAGUGAGAAAAGAAAAGAAAAAAGGAAGGGUGUUUUACUUGCUCCUUGAAGAAUUUUAGUAAAGUGAGGGUGAGAGCAUCGUCAAAUGAGAGCAAGUACAAUGAAAGUGAUUUGUGAGAGCAGAGGUUACUUUUUUGGUAUACACAGUGAGUGUGAAGAAAGUAUUUUAUUUUUUAGGGUUUCAUAAAUAAAAUAAU